CCAGUCGUAUUUCUGCAUCCUUAAAGAGGUUCCCUCUGUGUGUACCUGGCCAUGCUGAGCAUUGGGAUAUUGCAUCUUGUAUCAGGGUUAUGCCAGCUGACCAAAGCCUGGGCGAGGCUGUCCGCCCUCAUGCCACUCUGAGAAGCCAGAAGUACACGCCAAUGGAAAUUACAGCCCUUCAGAAGCCUUCCCCCAGCACCUCCCUCCUGGCUACACUGAGGCUGCUUGUGUGAAUGCCCUGGGACAGCAUAGCACAGCACUGCAGAACCCCUGGUUCCUGGAAGAGGAGCAGAAAGACCUCCCCUGAAAACAGAGCUGGCUGCCCUGGGAGGAGGCACGAUGCCUGAGGGCCCAUGGGCAUCAGGAUACGUCUCCAGGUCCAUAAACCAGCCUAAUCCCUCCACCUUCUGUUUCUCUGAACAGCCUCAAUGACACAGACCAAUCCUUGUGGUAAAGGGGUCAUGCCAUCAUGCCGUGCCUUACAGAGGAUUUCUCCUUGCAGCACACAUCCUUGUGGGUUCAGUCUGUGAUAUCCUCUUGAGAGGAUCUAAGCACGGGUGUAGCUAGGGAUCCAUCCUCCUCUGAUGGCAUGUUGUUUCACUGUGAUUUCUGGAUAUACUUUCACUUUUUUUCCCUCCCAGACUGUCCAGUAUAUCAUUAAAGUUGCUUUACAUGGUAAAGAGAAAGCAGAGCUAAAACAGUAAUAUAUUUUUCUUGUUCGAUGGAAAAUAUAGAUUUAUUUUUUUUAAUCAAAGUGUAAGUCUGCAAUCCCAUAGAGUAUAACCUCUCUAAAAGACUUUAUGGUUAUUUAAGAGGAAUGUGGGCUGUAAAUAAAUAUAAGUUUAUUACAUACUUGGAUGGAAAUAUUUAGGUUUCCCUGGUUAAAAAAUGUGCAUAAAAAAAAAGAAGCUAUAUAUGCUGAACAUUCCUUUGGAUUUUCACACCAGGGUAUACAUCUGAACACAAUAUAUUGCGCAUGUAAUAUCAGUUCAGGAUAAACUUCCAAGGAUGCUUGAAGUUCGUGUCCAAACUAUUCCUCUCUGCUGUAUAGAAGAACCUCCCGCAAGCUGAGGUGCAGAUCUCUGUGGGCUCCCUGCUGCUUGUCUGGGAGCUGCAGGCUGGAUAAAUGUAUUUGUUUUAAAGCCAAUAGAGCAUCCAAUGAGACCUGGGCUGUUUCUGAGUUGGAUCUUAGUGUUCCCAUACAGGCUUGGUAUAACAAAUAUUUUCACACUGAAUUUUUCUUUAUUUUUUUCUUCACAUCAGGCAUUUUCCAGGUUCUACAUCAUCUAAAAAAUCAUUUAUUCUUCUUGCAUGCUCUGCUUUGGUUCCAUAUAUGUGAUUGUGUAGGCUUAUCUUCACUUUUAACUAAUGAACAGACAUAGGAAUAACUUUACUGUUUGCUACUGCAAUAAGCAGGCCCUACUCCUGUGCCCAUGUUGUUCCACAUUUGGCAUUUCUGAGUUCUUCAUUUUCAUUACUUUAAGCCUACAUUUAAAGCUUUUUCAUGGCA